AACGUAGGAGACAAACGUUAUCCGGAGUUACUGGGCGUAAAGGGCGUGUAGGUGGUUUCGUAAGUCUGGCGUGAAAUUUUUCGGCUUAACCGGGAAAGGUCGUCGGAUACUGCGGAGCUAGAGGACGGUAGAGGCGUGUGGAAUUCCGGGUGUAGUGGUGAAAUGCGUAGAGAUCCGGAGGAACACCAGUGGCGAAGGCGACACGCUGGGCCGUACCUGACACUGAUGCGCGA
rnacentral:rRNA from 1 species